CUCAUAUCCUAAACAAUCCAGCAAAAUAGCUACAUGAACUAAAAAGAAAUGCACAAUAAACACAAUCAUGUUUCUGUCGUUAUAUACAAUUACAUAGCAUAAUGGGAUGAAUGGGUACAAACAAAAAUAAAGAAAAUACAAUAUUUAUAGCAAACAGUUCAGAAAUUGUACAAUUACCAUGGUGCAGGGCAGAUGUAGGUAACCUUUGGCACUCCAGAUGUUGUGGACUACAUAUCCCUUGAUGCUUUGCCUGGAAGAUUUGCUUUGGAAGAUGCAGUCUACAACAUCUGUAGUGCCAAAGAUUGCCAACCCCUGAUGUAGGGCAAAGAAGAAUUGUAAUGAAUAAAACGUGAAAAUGGCGGUAUCACAAGAUUUAUAAACACCUAAACAAAGCACCCCAGGAAAG